UACGGAGGGUGCGAGCGUUUGUCCGGAAUCACUGGGCGUAAAGGGCGCGUAGGUGGUGGCUUAAGCGUGCGGUGAAAGCUCGGGGCUCAACCCCGAGUCGGCCGUGCGAACUGGGCUCACUGGAGCAUAGUAGAGGCAGGUGGAAUUCCGGGUGUAGCGGUGGAAUGCGUACGAUAUCAGGAGGAACACCGAUGGCGAAGGCAGAUCUCUGGGCAUUAACUGACGCUGAGGAGCGAAAGCAUGGGGAGCGAACAGG
rnacentral:rRNA from 1 species